rnacentral:misc_RNA from 1 species
GAAAUGCGAUAAGUAAUGUGAAUUGCAGAAUUCAGUGAAUCAUCGAAUCUUUGAACGCACAUUGCGCCCCCUGGUAUUCCGGGGGGCAUGCCUGUUCGAGCGUCAUUUCACCACUCAAGCCUCGCUUGGUAUUGGGCGACGCGGUCCGCCGCGCGCCUCAAAUCGACCGGCUGGGUCUCUCGUCCCCUCAGCGUUGUGGAAACUAUUCGCUAAAGGGUGCCGCGGGAGGCCACGCCGUAAAACAACCCCAUUUCUAAGGUUGACCUCGGAUCAGGUAGGGAUACCCGCUGAACUUAAGC